CCUACGGGGGGCAGCAGUGAGGAAUAUUGGUCAAUGGACGAGAGUCUGAACCAGCCAAGUAGCGUGAAGGAUGACUGCCCUAUGGGUUGUAAACUUCUUUUAUAUGGGAAUAAAAUGUUUCACGUGUGGGAUUUUGUAUGUACCAUAUGAAUAAGGAUCGGCUAACUCCGUGCCAGCAGCCGCGGUAAUACGGAGGAUCCGAGCGUUAUCCGGAUUUAUUGGGUUUAAAGGGAGCGUAGGUGGAUUGUUAAGUCAGUUGUGAAAGUUUGCGGCUCAACCGUAAAAUUGCAGUUGAUACUGGCAGUCUUGAGUACGGUAGAGGUAGGCGGAAUGCGUAGUGUAGCGGUGAAAUGCUUAGAUAUUACGAAGAACUCCGAUUGCGAAGGCAGCUCGCUAAACUGCAUCUGACACUGAGGCUCGAAAGUGUGGGUAUCAAACAGGAUUAGAUACCCGUGUAGUC
rnacentral:rRNA from 1 species